CAUUUCCCACAGAAUUGGUCUGAAUUGUGGCUGGAUGAAGCUUUCUGGCAGUUCUUGUUCUCUAUUGUCCUGCUUGUGAUUAUGGUUUUGUGGCGACCCACUGCGAACAACCAGAGGUACGCCUUUACGCCCAUUGUCGACUUUGAUGGUAUGAAGAUGAGGAAUGUCAAGAACACCCCAGAAGUGAUAAUUAAUGGUGACGCCAAACGUAAACACAAGCCUGAAGAUGAUCUGAAGUGGGUGGAAGAGAAUAUUCCCAGCUCUGCUGCCGACGCGUAAAUGCGUAAAAUGUUGAUUCGUAAUUUAUUGUAAGUAAUAGCUCCGCUCCAAGCCUUCCCUAGCAUGGGCCUAACAAGGUAAUAUAAGCUCAGAAAAAGAAAGCUUUUUUUCAUUUUCCAUUUUUUUGAAAUAAUAUUUUGAGAUACAUUGGUAACAUUGGUACGUGUAGUGCCAAAAAAAAAUGAUUAUUAAAAUACAUUGGUUACAUAAAAGAUUAUAUUCAAAGGCGAUCAAUUUAUUAAUUCCAAUGAGCAGGGUAUACCUUAAAGCACCCGUUACUAUAUCAAUUGUAAGAUAGAGCUAGUUUUGAUCUGCAUGGUGCUGUUAUUGAAAAUCUUCCAGAGGUUUUAUAGAUUAGGUUUACAGAGGGAUAAAGUUCAAUUUUGAAGCAGUUUCAGAGUAAGGCUCCCUUCCCCUUUUGUCUGGGUCCCAUAUACCAUAGGGCUUGAAGAAGACUGAGUGAGUUAGCCCCUUCAUAGUGCGCCCUCGUAAAAUGACAAGGGAACCGACUGCUUUUCUCUCACCAUUUAAUAUUAUUGUCGCUUUUACUUCAACAAGAAAUUUGUUACUUGUAGUCUAAGAAGUUACAUUUUCCACAUAACAGUGGUCUGAUCAUAAAUGUAUAUUUUGCAGUAGAUAACGUUGAGGUUCUGAUGCAAAUAUAUUCCCGGGGUCGGUGUAUCCAGUAAGAAAUGUGAUGGGCAAAAUCUAAUCAGUUAAAAGCAAGAAAAUCGAAUGCUAGCCAGUUAGAAUAGCGUUGGACCUAUGUCCAAGUGUUCCUUAUAAGUUGAAGAGCCAGUUUUCUUUCUCACUAACUUCAUCGAGAAGAAAAAGCAAAAGUUGGUGAAAGGUUUUACAAAGGCCGUUCUGAAACGCGUUAGGGUUUAGAAAGUCGCCGGAGCCUGAAAUAAACCAACCAAUCAGAUUGGCUAGCAUACUCGAUCGUGAUCCUGCGCUUCAGCUCUUAAAACUUGUUUGAUAUUUGAAAAUUUUAAAUGAAGAUUUAAAUGAAAGCGAAACCUUGUUUUCCGUUAUAUGUAAAUAGCCUAAGUAGGGCAGCAGUGAAUGAGGUGUGUUAUAAAUUUAAGGGGAACAGCCUUGACACUACCUCGCACGCCAUAAACAUGUUUCUUUGUAAUAUUUUCUGCUUUACUGGAUGUUUUCACCAUCCGCCAAAAUAUGGGGUUAUAGAGGCUUUUCUUUAAAGUAAUUUCGUUUCUUGAGUUCUCACAGCGCGUUGCCCCCUUAAGGAGCGCGGGCUCUGGGAAGGAGAUAACCUUAGUGCCCAGUUCCCUCUGGGAUUCGCCCUCAACAAAACAAGUCCAAGACUCGGCAACGUUGCACACGACCAUGGAACUUACAGGCAGCUCUCGUAAAGGGAACUAGGUAUUACGUUAAAUUUUGGGACUUAGUCAGGGAGUGCGUGACUUGUUAAACAGAAAUUGGGGAGUUUAACGUUAGUAAAAUUUGUUUGAAGCUUUUUCGGUUGACCCGGCCAAAAACUGUGAUGACUAGCUCGUUUUCGCGGGUUUUAUUUAUCAAUAGUUGUAGUAUUUGUUAUCGCUUAGUAUCAAAGUCGUCAGAUUUUUCAGAUCCUAGAGAUUCUUUUGUUUCUGAUCAAAUUCAUAGCCCUUCCAGCUGUGAAAUAGACGAUCUGUUGUUUUGUGGUUGUAAUUACUAAGAGUUGAAAGUACGUUAUUAAAUUAAAUUUCGGCAA